AAAAUAUUAAGAACAUAAAAACUAUUAUUUUUAACUUAUAAUUAAAUAUAUAUUUAUAAUAAACAGAAAAGUAAAGUGGCAUGAUAGUAAAUAUUGUGAAAUCCAAACCUGCUUUCAUAAACACAUAAAUAUCUGAUUCAAAAUCAGAUCUAGAUCUGAUCUUUCUCCCUUUCCUCUCAACAAACUCAUAUAUCUUCUCAAGAAGCUCCCAUCAUCAAGAUCAGGAUGCCGACGACUGACACCGCCGUCGACGACAUUCUCGCUAUCGUUCCUCCCGCAACUUCUGUUUCAUCCGUCUCCACUCUCCACUGCCGCCAAGGAAAACUCGGAUCUGAUGAGAUUCGAUGAAAACAUUGUUGAUCCACAACAUUCGUCAUUGUCAUCACCACCAAACUUUUACCAACACUGCCGACGUCCGCCUGUUUCCGCCUCCAGAUCUGCCAUCAUUCUCGAAUGUCACCAGAUCGUUGACAACGAAACCGAUGCUCUACCACCAUGUCACGACGAGACCGAUGCUCUACUACCGUGUUAGGCUGUUGUUUCCACCAUUACUGCUACAUAUCAAUGUUGUCUCCGGUGAGCUGAAAAAUUCAGUGAAAAUGUGAAUGUCACCAGAUCGUUGACAACGAAACCGAUGCUCUACCACCGUGUCACGACGAGACCGAUGCUCUACUACCGUGUUAGGCUGUUGUUUCCACCAUUACUGCUACAUAUCAAUGUUGUCUCCGGUGAGCUGAAAAAUUCAGUGAAAAUGUGAAUGUCACCAGAUCGUUGACAACGAAACCGAUGCUCUACCACCGUGUCACGACGAGACCGAUGCUCUACUACCGUGUUAGGCUGUUGUUUCCACCAUUACUGCUACAUAUCAAUGUUGUCUCCGGUGAGCUGAAAAAUUCAGUGAAAAUGUGAAUGUCACCAGAUCGUUGACAACGAAACCGAUGCUCUACCACCGUGUCACGACGAGACCGAUGCUCUACUACCGUGUUAGGCUGUUGUUUCCACCAUUACUGCUACAUAUCAAUGUUGUCUCCGGUGAGCUGAAAAAUUCAGUGAAAAUGUGAUGUAUUUGUGAAUACUUUUUUUGUGUGUGUAUAUGUGUGCGCCAUAGUAGGAAUGUUGAUAAGAAGUGCAUUUGUUGGUGUUUCAAACAUAUUCGGAUGAUAGAAUGCAGUUGCAUCUGAUGGUGUUUCUAAUAAAGUAAGGAAGUUUCGUUUGUGAGUUCACCUCCAUAAAAUUUCGGCGAGAGAUUCUUUGGUGAUUUUAUGGAGAUGCUCGAUAAAUUGAAAAAUAUGUCUGAAGCUAAGGUUAUGCCUUUUCUUUUCCUUUGAAUUAAAUAUCAUUUAUUGAUUGUUUGAAUCGAGGUUAUAAAAUUAAUUAAACUUUCAUAUUAAAAAAUCAAAAUUAUUAAUUAAUUAUUUUAAAUAAGUUAUUAAAUUAAAGAUAUUUUUUUUAAUUAUAUAAAAUUAUAAUCGUUGAUUUAAAUAAAUACGUGAAGUUAUAUCAUAUUAUAAUCUGUAUAAAAUUUAUUUUAUUUUUUAAUCAAAUGUUAUUAAUUUAAUAUAAUUAAAGUGAAAAAGUUUAAAUUUUGAAAUUUAAAAUUUAAUAUAAUUAGGGUGGAUAUUUUAAAAUUUGAAAUUUGAAAUAGAUAAUUAAUAUGUUGACAAGUGGCAUGAUAUGGGACAUAAUAUUAAUGAGGAUGUCUAAUAUAAUGACACUUAUCGAUAGGAGAAUAAAUCUAUUUAUUUAUUAGAAUAGGGAUUCAUUUGCUGAAUUAAGACAUGUCAGGUUACUUGUUAAGGUAAAUAGCAAAAAAAAAACACUCUGUUUACACCAAAAUUCUCAUUUGACACUGUGUUUUUUUUGUCUCAAAAUUGACUCUAUGUUUUCCAAUUUGUUAUAAUUUUGACCACUUGACCGAUCAACCAGGUUAUAUGCUGACAUGUCAGUUUUGAUGACGUGACAUGCAGACAUGAUAUGCUGACAUGUCAAAUUGAUUUUUUUCCGCAAAAAACACUAAGUUUUCAUUUUUUUUUUUCGAUUUUGACACCAAGUCUAAUUUUUCUUUCAAUUUUGACACUGUUUUUUUUGUUUCAAAUCGAAUAUCAUUUUUUUCAAUUUUGUUAAAUGUUGACAAUUUUUUAUUUGAAACCGUAUAAAUGUUUUUUUCAAUUAAAAACCAUAGUUUUGUAUAAACACAAGUUUUUUUUACAUUCAAACCAUAAUUUUAUGUAUAAAUAUGUAUUAGUUAUAUAAAAACCGUAUUUUAUAUUAAAUACGCAACUUUAAAAUGAGUUUUGAGGUUUGGAGACGUGUAACCGAUCAAAACCCGGAUGUCAAGUUUGCAACCCAUGAGAUUUUUAUGGUUAGUUUGAUUCUCAUGAUAUAAUUAAUACAUAUUUAUACAUUAUGUUUUGAAUGAAAAAAAUACCUUAUAUUUAAAUAAAAAUGUGGUUUUUAAACGAAAAAAAUAUAUUUGUACAGUUUAAAAUGUAAUAAAAAAUAUAUUUAUAUGGUUUCAAAUAGAAAAUUUUCAAAAUUAAACAAAAUUUGAUAAAUGAUAUUCGAUUUGGAACAAAAAACCAUAGUGUCAAAAUUGAAAGAUAAUUAAAAUUAGUAUCUAUAUCGAAAAAAAAUGAAAAGUUAGUGUUUUUUUGUGGAAAAAAAAAAUUCAAUUUUGACACGUCAGCAUAUCAUGUCUGCAUGUCACGUCAUCAAAACCGACACAUCAUCAUGUCAUGUCAGCAUAUAACCUGGUUGACCGGUCAAGUGGUCAGAAUUAUAACAAAUUGGAAAACACCGUAUCAAUUUUGAGACAAAAAAAAAACACAAGGUUAAAUUAUAAUUUUGGUGAAAAGAGAGUUUUUUUUUUUCUAUUUACCCUACUUUUUUUUUUGUGUUCCAGAUUGCUUGUUCCUACUUUCUAUAAAGUUCCUUUUACAUAUAUUCUACUUUUAUUGAAUAUGACAAUUUUACAUUUAUUGAAUAUGUCAAUUUUUACUUUCAUUAGCUCUAAUAUAUGGAAUAAUUAUUUAGUAUUGGUCAACGGAAAUUGCUAUUAGUUUUUUUUACUAGUCUUUUCAUAGAAUAUUUGAAUUAUGUAUAUAUUAUUAUUCAAACAAAUCCAAUAGUUUAGAAAUAUUUAUAAUUAGGACAAAUAUGAAUAUAUUGACAUUUUAAAUAAUGCAAGCAUGAUCAAUUCGAUAGAUAUAGUAAAUGAACUUUUAAUGUGAAAUUGAUUACGUGGAAAUUAACGAUAAAAUAUUCUAUAGCCUAAAAAUUGUUACACAAGGUGUUUAAUAAAUUGUUUUAGUGGAUUAGUAUAAAUGUUUAAACUGUGAAUGACUCAUAUAUUACACUGUGAAUUAGUGUCUGAAUUUUUGUAUUAAACUGUGAAUGACUGUCUGAAAUAUCGCUUUAAACUAUGAAUUUAGUGUAUUAAACUGUAAAUUUUGUGUACUAAAUUGUAAAUUGAUUGUAUUAAGUUAUAAUUUUUAAAAAUUUUGUAUUGGCUUAUGAAAUAGAUUUGGUUAUCUCUAAUAUUGAAUAAAAUACGUAAAAUUUAAAACGUCGAAUAUUAUAUAAAUAAAGUUUGAAAGAAGCUCUAGCCUCCAUAUCUAAAGGUAUAAAAGUAAUUUCUAAUUUAAGAAUAUNAAUUUUUUGCACUAAACUAUAAAUUGAUUGCAUUAAGUUGUCAAUUUUUUAUGAAUUUUUUGUUAAAAUGUGAAUAUUUUAUACAUGAAUGUUUAUAUUAAUUUAUUGUGACUAUUUUUGUGUUUUGUAUAAAUAUGUAAAUAUGUAAGAAUAUAUUAGUUUUUAUAAUUAUCUUGCAUUAAAUCCUGAAUUAUUGAAUUAAUUAGUUUAUUAAACUGUGAAGGAAGUGGUCGGAGGAAAUGAUAGCGAGGUAUAAAUGUAUUAGUUUUUGUGUAGAAAUAUUUAUGUAAAUAAACUUUGAAAGAAGCACUAACUUAUAGGUCUGAAGAUACAUAUGCUAGUUUUAAGUUUAAAAUAUGGUUGUGAAUAUAUAAUUUUUGUGUAAAAAACUGUAAAUUGACUGUAUUAAAUUGUGAAUUGACUCUAUUAAACUGUGAAUUGACUCAUGAAUUUUGUAUUAAAAUUUGUAUUAAUUUUCUUGUGAAUGUAUUUAUUUUUAUGUUAUAUAAAUAUAUAAGAACUCAAAAUGAUUUAUUAAACUGUGAAUAUAAUAUUUAAGUUGUGAAUCCUUGAUUUUAUAUAUGCAUAUAUGAUUUUUUGUUAACUUUAUUCUGAAUAUAUUUAUUUUUUCUAUUGUAUAAAUAUGUAAGAAUACAUUAGUUUUAAUAAUAGUUUUGCAUUAAAUUCAAAAUGAGUGAAAUAAAUAGUUUUAUUAGACUGUGAAUGUAGUAUUUAAGUUAUUAAUGCAUGACUUUAUUUACAGAUCUGAUUUAGAAGAAAAUAAUGGUUGCGAUGCUGGUACAGAUGGUUGGUGGCAAUGUGUGGUGGUGGUAUUAGUAGAGUUUGAAAUAUUGAUUUCUUUUAGUUUGUGAAUUGUUGUAAAAUGGUUUGUAUUAAGUUCUGAAUUUUGUGAACUAAACUAUAAGUGGA
rnacentral:lncRNA from 1 species